GUAGCUCAGUCAGUAGAGCAUGAGAAUCUUAAUCUCUGCGUCAUGGGUUCAAGCCCAAUGUUGAGCA